GCACGCAUAGUUUCACUCAAAACAUUAGAUUGUGAGUCUAAUAAAGAAGGUUAAAAUCCCUCUGUUUGCC
rnacentral:tRNA from 1 species